rnacentral:misc_RNA from 1 species
GGCUAUCGCAUGGUAGCUUGCAGCCGUCUGUCAGACAAAAAGCAAAUAAGCAAACAAAAAUUAGCCUUCAUUCCUUCUAAUAAAAAGUUUAGCUUAAUAGAAUAUUAUCAUGCAGGAGUUUACAAAGUUUUUGGAAGAGAUACAGAGAGAGAGAGAGGGGGAGGGAGGGUAAACUGUAUGUGAUCCACUCCUAAUAAUCCCUGAUUGCACUUUAGAGCUUCAUGUAGAAAUCUAAGAGCAACAUGAACA